rnacentral:rRNA from 1 species
UACAGAGGUCCCGAGCGUUGUUCGGAUUCAUUGGGCGUAAAGGGUGCGUAGGCGGCGGGGCAAGUCUGAUGUGAAAUCCCGGGGCUCAACCCCGGAACUGCAUUGGAUACUGCCUUGCUAGAGUACUGGAGAGGGAACUGGAAUUUACGGUGUAGCAGUGAAAUGCGUAGAGAUCGUAAGGAAGGCCAGUGGCGAAGGCGAGUUCCUGGACAGUUACUGACGCUGAGGCACGAAGGCCAGGGGGAGCAAACGGG